CACUAACUACUUCUCUAGCUGGUAGAAUCAAUGAGAAUAUGCAAUGAAAUUUUAAACUUUAAUUUUUUUUUUACAUAGUUGUGGUUUUAAUUCUCCAAACAAGCAACAUGCAUGCUUACUGUAUAAGAGCAUUUUUGGCUAUAGAGUGUUGCUAAGGUAUACUUCCAAAGUAAGACUCUGCCAUCAGAACACGCUGGAAAACUUAUACAGUCCUUUAAGUUUUUGUGGAUUUUAGAGAAGAACAGUAAUCUAUCUAUUUUGUUUUGUUUUGUUUUGUUUUUUUCAGGAUUUUCCAGAAGUGUUCCUCAAAGGAAAAAAAAAAAGUGCAUAGUUAGUGAGUGUCUUGAUAAAAAGUUUCUUCAUGAAAACUACAACAGAGGACUUCAGAUUUCCAUUAGACAUUAGGGAUUUCUUUGAAGAACAAAAAGCAAACAUCACUGUAAAGAGAGGAGCAAGCAAGAGGAUGGAAAGUGAAGAAAAAUGAUCAUUUCCAUAUUGAGCUAUCCUGGGAAACAAAAUGAAAAUCACUUCUUUCCAUGGAAAGCUUUGCAGCAACAGGAUCUCCACCUUGACCAACCCAACAUUUCCACACUGAAGAAGGGGAAAUCAGAAGCCAUGAUACUAUACAAAUCUAUCACUUAGGCGCCAUUUAAAAUCAAAAGGAAUUUUUGAAGAAGGGCAUUUUAGAAAUGUGAUUUAUAGGGGCGCCUGGGUGGCACAGUCAUUAAGCGUCUGCCUUUGGCUCAGGGUGUGAUCCCAGCGUUCUGGGAUCAAGCCCCACAUCAGACUCCUCUGCUGGGAGCCUGCUUCUUCCUCUCCCACUCCCCCUGCUUGUGUUCCCUCUCUCGCUGGCUGUCUCUGAAAUAGAUAAAAAUAAAAAUAAAUCUUUAAAAAAAAAAGAAAUGUGAUUUAUAGCCACACCAGAUUUCUUAAUAAGAAAAAAUGUUGAUUAAAAAUAGUCACAGCUUAGAAUCAC
rnacentral:lncRNA from 1 species